AUUGAACGCUGGCGGCAUGCCUUACACAUGCAAGUCGAACGGCAGCACGGGAGCAAUCCUGGUGGCGAGUGGCGAACGGGUGAGUAAUAUAUCGGAACGUGCCCAGUCGUGGGGGAUCACGUAGCGAAAGCUACGCUAAUACCGCAUACGAUCUAUGGAUGAAAGCGGGGGAUCGCAAGACCUCGCGCCAUUGGAGCGGCCAAUAUCAGAUUAGGUAGUUGGUGAGGUAAAGGCGCACCAAGCCGACGAUCUGUAGCUGGUCUGAGAGGACGAACAGCCACACUGGGACUGAGACACGGCCCAGACUCCUACGGGAGGCAGCAGUGGGGAAUUUUGGACAAUGGGCGCAAGCCUGAUCCAGCAAUGCCGCGUGCAGGAUGAAGGCCUUCGGGUUGUAAACUGCUUUUGUACGGAACGAAACGGCGAGCUCUAAUACAGUUUGCUAAUGACGGUACCGUAAGAAUAAGCACCGGCUAACUACGUGCCAGCCGCCGCCGUAAUAC
rnacentral:rRNA from 1 species